GGUUAAGCGACUAAGCGUACACGGUGGAUGCCCUGGCAGUCAGAGGCGAUGAAGGACGUGCUAAUCUGCGAAAAGCGUCGGUAAGGUGAUAUGAACCGUUACAGCCGGCGAUGUCCGAAUGGGGAAACCCAGUGCAAUUCGUUGCACUAUCGUUAACUGAAUACAUAGGUUAACGAGGCGAACCGGGGGAACUGAAACAUCUAAGUACCCCGAGGAAAAGAAAUCAACCGAGAUUCCCCCAGUAGCGGCGAGCGAACGGGGAGCAGCCCAGAGUCUGAAUCAGCUUGUGUGUUAGUGGAACGGUCUGGAAAGUCCGACGGUACAGGGUGAUAGUCCCGUACACCAAAAUGCACAGGUUGUGAACUCGAAGAGUAGGGCGGGACACGUGGUAUCCUGUCUGAAUAUGGGGGGACCAUCCUCCAAGGCUAAAUACUCCUGACUGACCGAUAGUGAACCAGUACCGUGAGGGAAAGGCGAAAAGAACCCCGGCGAGGGGAGUGAAAAAGAACCUGAAACCGUGUACGUACAAGCAGUGGGAGCACCUUUAUGGUGUGACUGCGUACCUUUUGUAUAAUGGGUCAGCGACUUAUAUUCUGUAGCAAGGUUAACCGUAUAGGGGAGCCGCAGGGAAACCGAGUCUUAACUGGGCGUUAAGUUGCAGGGUAUAGACCCGAAACCCGGUGAUCUAGCCAUGGGCAGGUUGAAGGUUGGGUAACACUAACUGGAGGACCGAACCGACUAAUGUUGAAAAAUUAGCGGAUGACUUGUGGCUGGGGGUGAAAGGCCAAUCAAACCGGGAGAUAGCUGGUUCUCCCCGAAAGCUAUUUAGGUAGCGCCUCGUGAACUCAUCUUCGGGGGUAGAGCACUGUUUCGGCUAGGGGGUCAUCCCGACUUACCAACCCGAUGCAAACUACGAAUACCGAAGAAUGUUAUCACGGGAGACACACGGCGGGUGCUAACGUCCGUCGUGAAGAGGGAAACAACCCAGACCGCCAGCUAAGGUCCCAAAGUCAUGGUUAAGUGGGAAACGAUGUGGGAAGGCACAGACAGCCAGGAUGUUGGCUUAGAAGCAGCCAUCAUUUAAAGAAAGCGUAAUAGCUCACUGGUCGAGUCGGCCUGCGCGGAAGAUGUAACGGGGCUAAACCAUGCACCGAAGCUGCGGCAGCGACACUAUGUGUUGUUGGGUAGGGGAGCGUUCUGUAAGCCUGCGAAGGUGGCCUGUGAGGGUUGCUGGAGGUAUCAGAAGUGCGAAUGCUGACAUAAGUAACGAUAAAGCGGGUGAAAAGCCCGCUCGCCGGAAGACCAAGGGUUCCUGUCCAACGUUAAUCGGGGCAGGGUGAGUCGACCCCUAAGGCGAGGCCGAAAGGCGUAGUCGAUGGGAAACAGGUUAAUAUUCCUGUACUUGGUGUUACUGCGAAGGGGGGACGGAGAAGGCUAUGUUAGCCGGGCGACGGUUGUCCCGGUUUAAGCAUGUAGGCUGGUUAUCCAGGCAAAUCCGGAUAAUCAAGGCUGAGGUGUGAUGACGAGGCACUACGGUGCUGAAGUAACAAAUGCCCUGCUUCCAGGAAAAGCCUCUAAGCAUCAGGUAACAUCAAAUCGUACCCCAAACCGACACAGGUGGUCAGGUAGAGAAUACCAAGGCGCUUGAGAGAACUCGGGUGAAGGAACUAGGCAAAAUGGUGCCGUAACUUCGGGAGAAGGCACGCUGGUGUGUAGGUGAAGUCCCUGCGGAUGGAGCUGAGACCAGUCGAAGAUACCAGCUGGCUGCAACUGUUUAUUAAAAACACAGCACUGUGCAAACACGAAAGUGGACGUAUACGGUGUGACGCCUGCCCGGUGCCGGAAGGUUAAUUGAUGGGGUUAUCCGUAAGGAGAAGCUCUUGAUCGAAGCCCCGGUAAACGGCGGCCGUAACUAUAACGGUCCUAAGGUAGCGAAAUUCCUUGUCGGGUAAGUUCCGACCUGCACGAAUGGCGUAAUGAUGGCCAGGCUGUCUCCACCCGAGACUCAGUGAAAUUGAACUCGCUGUGAAGAUGCAGUGUACCCGCGGCAAGACGGAAAGACCCCGUGAACCUUUACUAUAGCUUGACACUGAACAUUGAGCCUUGAUGUGUAGGAUAGGUGGGAGGCUUUGAAGCGUGGACGCCAGUCUGCGUGGAGCCAACCUUGAAAUACCACCCUUUAAUGUUUGAUGUUCUAACGUUGGCCCCUUAUCGGGGUUGCGGACAGUGUCUGGUGGGUAGUUUGACUGGGGCGGUCUCCUCCCAAAGCGUAACGGAGGAGCACGAAGGUUAGCUAAUCCUGGUCGGACAUCAGGAGGUUAGUGCAAUGGCAUAAGCUAGCUUGACUGCGAGCGUGACGGCGCGAGCAGGUGCGAAAGCAGGUCAUAGUGAUCCGGUGGUUCUGAAUGGAAGGGCCAUCGCUCAACGGAUAAAAGGUACUCCGGGGAUAACAGGCUGAUACCGCCCAAGAGUUCAUAUCGACGGCGGUGUUUGGCACCUCGAUGUCGGCUCAUCACAUCCUGGGGCUGAAGUAGGUCCCAAGGGUAUGGCUGUUCGCCAUUUAAAGUGGUACGCGAGCUGGGUUUAGAACGUCGUGAGACAGUUCGGUCCCUAUCUGCCGUGGGCGCUGGAGAAUUGAGGGGGGCUGCUCCUAGUACGAGAGGACCGGAGUGGACGCAUCACUGGUGUUCGGGUUGUCAUGCCAAUGGCACUGCCCGGUAGCUAAAUGCGGAAGAGAUAAGUGCUGAAAGCAUCUAAGCACGAAACUUGCCCCGAGAUGAGUUCUCCCUGAGACUUUAAGUCUCCUGAAGGAACGUUAAAGACGAUGACGUUGAUAGGCCGGGUGUGUAAGCGCAGCGAUGCGUUGAGCUAACCGGUACUAAUGAACCGUGAGGCUUAACCUU
rnacentral:rRNA from 1 species